UGAUCACAAGAUUGUGUGGCAGAGGAAAGUCAGGGGAGACAGAUGGGAAGUGUAUUCCCCAGAACAGAUAGAGAUGAUAGAGAAGUCCUACACUAGUCGCUCAGAGUCGUGUGUGAUCGGCAGCCCAGGCAAACAAAUAAAAUAUCGCCUUGAUUUCACCAACCUAUGUAGCACAAAUUUAAGUGAUAGCAGUAGCUGUGAUAUCAGAAGAUCUGAAAUGUCUUAUAGUGAAUAUGCUCAGAAGUUUGAGAAACAGUAAAAGAAGGAAGCAACCAAGUAUCUGCUGACUAAAGAUGGAUCAUGACUUUACUCAGCUGACUAAAGAUGGAUCAUGACUUAAUAAACUCGAUCAGCUGACUAAAGAUGGAUCAUGACUUAAUAAACUCGAUCAGCUGACUUAAGAUGGAUCAUGACUUAAUAAACUCGAUCAGCUGACUAAAGAUGGAUCGUGACUUGUAAGGGUCGAUUAACUUGGUUGUCUUGUGUCAAAACCAGGUACAAAUCUAAUCCUCUUGACUUCUGUGUUGGACUGAUGUUUCAGGUGUAAAUUCUGUAGAAUUUAAGACCUCAAGACUAAUAAUUUUGACUAUGGUCUCUAGUGUAUACUUUAAUAGGCUUCCCAACUAACAAGUGCUGGUCUGUUGUGUAGGGGUCAGCUGGUCCUUGUCUAUAACACACAGCUGACCACUGCAUUGUAUGCAUGGAAAUUAAAGUAAACUUGACUGUCAAAUAGCCUAUAUCUCUUGGUCUGCCUUGAGACUUACAACAUGUUACCAUGUUUUGACCCUGCUGAGCAGUUGGAUGACAUUUUACUUUAUGUGUUGUCAGUGACAACUUAUAUCAGAGUUUUUAUACGUAGACUCUACAAGUGCAUUUAAUACUAGUAUUAUAAUUUCUUUCCGAGACUGGAAAAUUUCCCUGGGAAAGACAUUUUCUUCUUUGUUUUUGUGAUAAACCUGUAAAAUCAGUAGAUGUGCAGUGAUAGAAAUUAUCCUGCUAGAGCAUAACAAGUGACCUUUUUCUCCUUAAGACAACAUCCAAGGGAAAUUCCCUCAAGCCUGAGCUAGUCUGUAAUAUUGGCCCUGUUGUUAGACUGAAGUCUGUCAUAUUGGCCUUGUUGUUAGACUGAGGUCUGUCAUAUUGACCCUGUUGUUAGACUGAGGUCUGCCAUAUUGGCCCUGUUGUUGGGCUAAAGUCUGUCAUAUUGGCCUUGUUGUUAGACUGAGGUCUGUCAUAUUGGCCUUGUUGUUAGACUGAGGUCUGUCAUAUUGGCCUUGUUGUUAGACUGAGGUCUGUCAUAUUGACCCUGUUGUUAUACUGAGGUCUGUCAUAUUGGACCUGUUGUUAGGCUGAAGUCUGUCAUAUCGACCCUUUUGUUGGACUGAGGUCUGUCAUAUUGGCCCUGUUGUUAUACUGAGGUCUGUCAUAUUGGACCUGUUGUUAGACUGAGGUCUGUCAUAUUGGCCCUGUUGUUAGACUGAGGUCUGUCAUAUUGGCCCUGUUGUUAUACUGAGGUCUGUCAUAUUGGACCUGUUGUUAGACUGAGGUCUGUCAUAUUGGCCCUGUUGUUAGACUGAGGUCUGUCAUAUUGGCCCUGUUGUUAUACUGAGGUCUGUCAUAUUGACCCUGUUGUUAGACUGAGGUCUGUCAUAUUGCCCCUGUUGUUAGACUGAAGUCUGUCAUAUUGGCCUUGUUGUUAGACUGAGGUCUGUCAUAUUGGCCCUGUUGUUAGACUGAGGUCUGUCAUAUUGGCCCUGUUGUUAGACUGAGGUCUGUCAUAUUGGCCCUGUUGUUAGGUCAAGGUCUGUCAUAUUGGCCCUGUUGUUAUACUGAGGUCUGUCAUAUUGGCCCUGUUGUUAGACCGAGGUCUGUCAUAUUGGCCCUGUUGUUAGACUGAAGUCUGUCAUAUUGGCCCUGUUGUUAGACUGAAGUCUGUCAUAUUGGCCCUGUUGUUAGACUGAAGUCUGUCAUAUUGACCCUGUUGUUAGACUGAGGUCUGUCAUAUCGGCCCUGUUGUUAGACUGAAGUCUGUCAUAUUGACCCUGUUGUUAGACUGAAGUCUGUCAUAUUGGCCUUGUUGUUAGACUGAAGUCUGUCAUAUUGGCCUUGUUGUUAGACUGAAGUCUGUCAUAUUGACCCUGUUGUUAGACUGAGGUCUGUCAUAUUGGCCUUGUUGUUAGACUGAGGUCUGUCAUAUUGCCCCUGUUUGUAGGUCAAGGCAUAUGUAUUGCAUAAUUGACCUUUUCUGCCAACAGGAAAUAAGUUGAUUGAUAACUCUUAUAGCAGUUAACAGGAAAUGUACCUUUUUGUUAAGUAUAAUAAAACAUAUCUCAUUACUUUACUAAAAAAAUGUAUUCAAAACAUCGACUUUGCAAGUUUGCCUACAUGAUUGAGGAUCAGGUUUUUCUAACACAGCAUAUCAUGUUGGUCAAGUUGAAGUAAUUUGAUCAAUAUUUGCCUGUUUUGCUUAGACCAUGGUCACUAUAAAAAUGCAGUAUACAUUCUAUAGUUAAC